UUUUUCNNNCCNCUCUUUAUNCCAGUAAUUCCGGACAACGCUCGCACCCUACGUAUUACCGCGGCUGCUGGCACGUAGUUGGCCGGUGCUUCUUCUCCACCUACCGUCAAUCCGAGAGAACCCGNUCCUUCGUCGAUGGUGAAAGAGGUUUACAACCCGAAGGCC
rnacentral:rRNA from 1 species